rnacentral:rRNA from 1 species
GACAGAGGUGCCGAGCGUUAGGCGGAAUCACUGGGCUUAAAGCGUGUGUAGGCGGACCGUUAAGUACCUUGUGAAAUCCCACGGCUCAACCGUGGAACGGCUGGGUAUACUGGCGGUCUUGGGCCACCUAGGGGCAGAUGGAACAGACGGUGGAGCGGUGAAAUGCGUAGAUAUCGUCUGGAACGCCGAUGGUGAAAACAGUCUGCUGGGGGUGUGCCGACGCUGAGACACGAAAGCCAGGGGAGCAAACGGG